AACAUAUAAUUUUCUAUGUUACGGCCAUAGAGUCGGCACGAAGUGUCAUAUGUUU
rnacentral:tRNA from 1 species